rnacentral:rRNA from 1 species
UAUUGGACAAUGGACGCGAGUCUGAACCAGCCAAGUAGCGUGAAGGAUGACUGCACUGUGGGUUGUAAACUUCUUUUAUAUGGGAAUANAGUUUUCCACGUGUGGAAUUUUGUAUGUACCAUAUGAAUAAGGAUCGGCUAACUCCGUGCCAGCAGCCGCGGUAAUACGGAGGAUCCGAGCGUUAUCAGGAUUUAUUGGGUUUAAAGGUAGCGUAGGUGGACAGUUAAGUCAGUUGUGAAAGUUUGCGGCUCAACCGUAAAAUUGCAGUUGAUACUGGCUGUCUUGAGUACAGUAGGGGUGGGCGGAAUUCGUGGUGUAGCGGUGAAAUGCUUAGAUAUCACGAAGAACUCCGAUUGCGAAGGCAGCUCACUGGACUGUUGACUGACACUGAGGCUCGAAAGUGUGGGUAUCAAACAG